CAACCGUUCCGUCCGUAACGUUUUUCGCACACGGUAUAAUAUUAUGGUCCCGCACGAACGCUUUUAAACCGAAUCGAGAAUCCCUCGCGGAAUCGAUUAUUUUCAUCCGCGAAAAAAACGAAAGUACCCACGUGUGCGCAUACGAGUUCGCCGGGAUCGCAUUAUAAUAACGUAUUAUUUUACGUUUCCGGGCAAAUGUACACGCCUAUAUUUCGUGGCGUCCCCGGCG